CUUCUAACAUUAACUUUAGAACUACAUUUGGCCGCAAGAAAAACAGAGAUGCAAUUCGAAAGGCAUGGAUGCCUACAGGUGCAGCUCUUAAAAAACUGGAGGAUGAGAAGGGUAUUGUUGUACGAUUUGUAAUAGGCAGAAGGUUUCUGGUUUUCUAUGAUUAAUUUUUAUAUGAUGGAAGUGCUUAUUUUCUGUGUUUUGUUCAUUUACAAUCAUGUAUCGCUGCAGUUCAAACUUCAAAUGGUGGAGACAGUUUGGACAGGGCGAAAAUGUGCAGACUAAUGACUUCAUUGUUCUUGAUGGACAAGUGGAGGCAAUUGAGGAGGCUCCAAAAAAGACGAAAUUAUUCUUUAUAAAUGCUGUAGAGCAUUGGAAUGCUGAAUUUUAUGUUAGGGUCAAUGAUGAUGUUUUUGAUAAUAUUGAUAGG